UCCCUGGUGGCUCAGAGGUUAAAGCGUCUGCCUCCAAUGCGGGAGACCUGGGUUUGAUCCCUGGGUUGGGAA
rfam:Ovis aries breed Texel chromosome 11, whole genome shotgun sequence.